rnacentral:sRNA from 26 species
UAAUAGCCCUGAUAGAAGUGGAAAUCCUUUUGUUUUUUCCUUUAAAAAACAAAAGAUUGUAACAAAUAGCAGGAAAUAGC